rnacentral:rRNA from 1 species
UGAGGAAUAUUGGUCAAUGGUCGAGAGACUGAACCAGCCAAGUCGCGUGAAGGAUGACUGCCCUAUGGGUUGUAAACUUCUUUUACAAGGGAAUAAAAUGAGAUACGUGUAUUUUAUUGCAUGUACCUUGUGAAUAAGCAUCGGCUAACUCCGUGCCAGCAGCCGCGGUAAUACGGAGGAUGCGAGCGUUAUCCGGAUUUAUUGGGUUUAAAGGGUGCGUAGGUGGGCUGUUAAGUCAGCGGUGAAAGUUUGUCGCUUAACGAUAAAAUUGCCGUUGAAACUGGUAGUCUUGAGUAUAGAUGAAGUAGGCGGAAUGCGUGGUGUAGCGGUGAAAUGCAUAGAGAUCACGCAGUACUCCGAUUGCGAAGACAGCUUACUAAGGUAUAACUGACACUGAAGCACGAAAGCGUGGGUAUCAAACAGG